AACAUCUUCUCUACCUGCCGCAGUGAGUUCAGUAGAUCGUGGGUGGGUGGACACUCCUGUGGACAGGAUGAAGACACUUCAGAGGACAAACUCUACUCAGAAACAACAGGGCUCUCUCACACUGCCGGCUCUUCAUCUCCAACGCGAUGCAGAUGGAGGAGCUGCGCCUUGGAGGCGGGGCUAGGUCUACCCAGGCCUUAGGCAAAGCUGAA